rnacentral:rRNA from 1 species
CCUACGGGGGGCUGCAGUAGGGAAUAUUGCUCAAUGGGGGAAACCCUGAAGCAGCAACGCCGCGUGGAGGAUGAAGGUCUUAGGAUUGUAAACUCCUUUUGUGAGAGAAGAGAAUGACGGUAUCUAACGAAUAAGCACCGGAUAACUCCGUGCCAGCAGCCGCGGUAAUACGGAGGGUGCAAGAGUUACUCGGAAUCACGGGGCGGAAAGCGUGCGCAGGCGGGCUGGGAAGUCAGAUGUGAAAUCCUGUAGCUUAACGACAGAUCUGCAUUUGAAACUUUGAGUCUAGAGUGUGGGAGCGGUAGGUUGUAUUCUUGGUGUAGUGGUCAAUUCCGUCGAUCUCCAGAGGAAUCCUCAUUGCGAAGGCGACCUCCUGGACCUUUACUGCCGCUCAUGCGC